ensembl:lncRNA
GGGGAAGAAUGGGUCUUUUGUGGCCCAGCGAGAGGAAAUGCCUCUGCUCAGGGUGCAUCUGUAACUCACCUUGCUUGCCGCCCCCGCCCCUGUAUGACUACGUUGCUGAUGGCUGGAGGCUCCCAAGAAUGUGGAGAGUGUCUGGUUUCUCCUUCUUGGCUCAAAACCCAAAACAGAUGAAAGGACCUGUCAUUGCAAGCUUAAAUAAGAGAAGAAUGGGGGACAAGUUUUUCACACAUACGGAGAAUUUAUGUGAGGAGGGUGCUGAGCAGUUACUCAUCACCUGAGGUUCGGCUGUGAUGAGGUAAACAGAGAAUGAUCCUGGAGUUAGAAGACCUGAGUCUAACUCCACCUCUUCCCACCCCACUCUGCCAGUCACCAUUCAUGUGAUUCGUGUGAUUUGGGGACAAUUUAUUUAGCUUCUCUGAGCUUUAGUCUUUGCAUUUCUAAGAGGGGGAUGAUUUUCCUACAUCACAGAGCUAAUGUGAGGAUCAAAACAAACCACGUAUGUGAAAGCAGCACAAAGUGCCCAUAAAUAUUUCAUAAAUAUCUGGUCACUUACCCCCUCCUCUGGGAAGCUUUCCCGGGUCUGCAGCAGCUGAGAGAGGGCCCUCCUUUGGGCUCCACCUCAACGCAUACCUCUACUAUAGCACCUUAUAAUGUUUUUUAAAGUUUUAUUUAUUUAAAAAAUUUGGGGAGUUCCUAUUGUGGCUCAGUGGAAAUGAAUCUAUCAUUUGUGAGGACAUAGGUUCGAUCCCUGGCCUUGCUCAGUGGGCUAAGGAUCCAGCAUUGCUGUGAGCUGUGGUGUAGGUCAAAGAUGCGGCUCAGAUCCUAAGUUGCUGUGGCUGUGGCAUAGGCCAGCAGCUGCACUUCCGAUUGGACCCCUAGCCUGGGAACCUCCAUGUGCCUUGGUGCGGCUCUGAAAAAAAGACAAAAAAAAUUUCAUUGGAGUAUAGCUGUCUUACAGUGUUGUGUUAAUUUCAGGUGUACAGCAAAGUGAACCAUUUAUACAUGUACAUAUACCCAUUCUUUUUCACAUUCCUUUCCCAUACAGGUCACUAGAGUAUUGAGUAGAUUUCCCUGUGCUACACAGUAGGUCCUGUUACUCAUCCGUUCUGUAUAUAGUGGGUGUGUAUAUGUCAAUCCCAAACUCCCAAUUUAUCCCUCCCUGCAACAUUUCACCUUUGGUAACCAUAAGUUUGGUUUAAAAAAUCUCUAAGUCUGUUUCUGUUUUGUGAAUAUGUUCUUUUGUAUUAUUUUUUAUUAGAUUCCAUACAUUAAUGAUCUCAUGAUAUUUAUCUUUCUCUGCCUGAUUUACUUAGUAUGAUAAUUUCUAGGUCUGUCCAUGUUGUUGCAAAUGGCAUUAUUUUAUUCUUUUUUAUGGCUGAGUAAUAUUCCAUUGUAUAUAUGUACCACAUCUUCUUGAUCCAUUCCUCUGUUGAUGGACAUUUAGGUUGCUUCCAUGUCUUGGAUAUUUUAAAUAAUAGCACUUUACACUGUAUUACAUUGUUGAUUUUCUUGUCCUUGAGGGCAAGAAUUAUGCAUUCACUUCUGUUAGUCUAAUGCCCCUGCUCUCGAAAGAAUUCCCAACACAUACUGGACUCUUAAUAAAGGAAUUUUAAUUUCUUUGUACUUCUAAAUAAGACCAAAUCAAAGAAAUAGCAUCAGAAGAAAGCAUUCAUUUAUUCAUUCAUUUAUUCCAAAAUAUGUUUAUUUAAUCAAAUCUAAGAUGACACUGAGUUCAAGAUGCACCAUUACUUAUGUCCUACUAAGAAAGUGGUGCCAACUAAACCACAUCAUGCUACCAGUGGGAAGACACAUUUCCAUUUAGACUCCAUUUAAUUAAGUAAUUAAUUGUAUUUAUUUAUUUAUUUGCAGACACCUCCUUUCUAGUGUUUUAUUUUAUUUGGUUUUCUGCCUGCUGUCCUGAUUGGGUGAUUUACAUUAUUCCAUCUUCCAAGUCACAAAUUCAUUCCUCUGCAUUAUUCACUCUUCUCUUUAGUGACUUUAGCUCAGUUUGCCUCUCUGCAAAUGAAUUUUCUAACUUUUCUUGGCUCCUCCUUAUAUUUUCUAGUUCCUUUCUAAAGGAAUCUGCAUUACUGUUUAUAUCUGCUCUUAAUUCUUUGAUAUUCAGCCUUAAUUCCUUUAGUAUUUCCCCUGCCUCCCUUUUGAACUCAAAGUCUGUCAGACUGCAGAGGUCUGUUUCAUUGUUGACUGCCUUAGGAGAAUUCUCCUGUUCCAUUAACUGGGAAUGGUUUCUGAGCUUCUUCAUCUUGCUUAUGUAUUUCUUUUUCUGUGAAUUUAGGGAAGCCAAACUGUAGUCUUGUAAGGCUACUUCUAGCACCCCUUUGUAUUUUGGGGGGUUUACUAUUUAUUUUUGGUGUGGGAGUUUGAAUAUUUGCUGUCUGUUUCUUUGGUGUGAGCAGGCUGUUAUCCCCAAGAUGCUCAGUGUGUUUUCAGGGAGAAGGAGGCAAUGGGUGGAGCCAGUAGUCAGUGCCUGGUCGUUGGGCUCUCAACAGCAGCAAGGACCUGCAGGAAGGUGGCACAGGGUACUCCUAGUUGCAGGGCCCUGGGAAGUGGUAAUGAGCUCUAGGCAGAUCUACAAAGUGUCCGGAGCAUUUGGCAGUAGCAGCAGCUGGGUGUGUGAGUUCCCAAGGGAGUAAGAGCAACAACAGCUUGUGUUCGAUUGCAGUGCCCUCCUCUGAGGUGAUUGGAAACGAAGGUGGUGCCUGUUCAGGGACCCCUAAUGGUAGCGGGCCACGACCGCCUCUGGAGUUAGUGAUAACUGCGGUGGUUUGCCCCCGCCACCUGUAGACCAUGCAUGAAGCACCCCGUCUCACUUAGCCCACGUAGGAGGUGCUGCACAGGCUGCUCCUAGUUGCAGGAUCCUGGGAAGUAACAGAUCAGGCAUGUGGGUACUGCCCGGAGCAUUCAGCAGUGGCAUCAGCAGGGCUGGUAUGUUCCCCGGGCUGUGAGAGCACCAACAGGUGAUGUUUGGUCACAAUGCCCUCCUCUGUGAUGCCCUUGAGGUGAAAGGGGCUGCAAGUGGUGGCUGUUCACGGACCUCUAGUGGUGGCGGGCUGCUCCCACCUCUGGAGCCAGAGAUAACUGGUGGUUUGCCCCCCUCUCCUGUAGACCAUGCAAGAAGCGCCUCGUCCUGCUUAGCCCCCACAGGAGGUGCUGCACAAGCUGCUCCUAGUUGCAGGUUUCUGGGAAGUGACAGUGAUCAAGCGUCUGGGCACUGCCCAGAGUGUUUGGCAGUGGCAGCAGCAGGGCCGGUGUGUUCCCAGAGGAGCGAGAGCAACAGCAGGUGGUGUUCCAUCACAAUGUCCUUCUCUGUGUGCCCUCUGAGGUGGUUGGGGCUGCAAGUGAUUUUUGAUCAGGUAUCCCCAGGGGCAGUGGGCCGUGCCCAUCUCUGGAGUCAGAGAUAACUGCAGCGGUUUGCCCCCACCAUCUGCAGACCACGUGAGAAACAUUGUCCCACUUAGCCCACAUAGGAGGUGCUGCACCAGCUGCCCCUAGUUGUAGGGUCUUGGAAAAGGACAGUGACCAAGUGCCUGGGUGCUGCCCAGAGCAUUUGGCAGUGGCAGCUGCAGGGCGGGUAUGUUCCCAGGGGAGUGAGAGCAACGGCAUAUGGUACUUGGUUGCAGUGCCUUCUUUUUUAUAUUUUUGCCAACCCCUGAGGUGACUGGGGCCGCAGUUGGAGCCCACUCAGGCCCCCAGUGGUGGCAAGCCACGCCUCCCUCUGGCCUCCAAGACGACCACUGCGGUCCGUCCCUACCGCCUGUAGUUCAUGCAAGAGGCACCAUGUCACCCUUAGCCCACACAAGAGGUGCCUGGCCACCAGUAGCCUGCACAAGGAGUGCCCAAUCUCCCCUAAAGGAGCAAGAAGCUUCUCAACGAUGCUCCUGCCCCCGUGGCCUGCGCCAGAACUGCCCCGCCCUCUGAGAGCCCGCCGGCAUGCGCAUGUGCAGGGAGAUUCCUAUGGCAUCCGCCCCUCCUCCUCUCCCCUACUCACCGGUGGCGUCCUGCCUCUCCUGCAGGCCUGGAUCUUCUCCCAGGUUUCCUCUGCCGUGGUAUUCCACUUCCCAGCCCGUCGCACACUGAUCCAUUCCCCGCCCGUGGCGCACUGUUCCGUAGCCCCUCAGGCUGUCCCCACACAGCCAGCCCCAGUCCUCUCCACCGGACUGACCUCAGGAGCCCAAGUUUAAGCAUCCAGGCCCCACCCAAGCAUCUCAGGCUGUGAUGUCCUGGUUGGUGGUUCAGAUGAUCUGUGGCUCUCUCUCUGCUUUGCCCUCCUCAGUCCAGCUGCUGCACUUUGAGGUCCCUCUGUCUCGGCUGAUCUCCCAGUGGGUUAAGUGGCUUCCCAGGGUGUGGGUUCCUUUUUUCCUUCACUGCUCAUCUCAGGAAUGCUAGUCCCGUCCUGAUUCCUUUUCUUUAUCUUUUUUUAUUUUGUUCUACCCAGUUACAUCAAGAGUUUCUUGUCCUUUUUGGAAGUUUAAGUUCUUCUGCUAGCAUUCAGUUGAUGUUCUGUGCGAAUCGUUUUACAUGUAGAUGUGUUUUUUCGAUGUGUUUGUGGGAGAAGUUGAGCGCAACCUCUUACUCCUCUGCCAUUUUGCUCCUCCCCUCUGUCUAGUGUUUUAUUUUAAUGUCAAACUGAAAUUUCAAUUUUAAAUGACUUAAAAUUUUGAGUAUAUGUGAACAUGCACACACACACAUACACACAUAUCCCCAAACAUGUAGUAAAAAUGAAAGAUACUCUGCUAAGUGUUCUGAAGUUGUUCUUAAAGGGAGAGGGGGAAUUCCCAUCGUGGCUCAGCGGAAACGAAUCUGACUAGCAUCCAUGAGAACGCAGGUUCAAUCCCUGGCCUCGAUCACCGGGUUAAGGAUCCGGUGUUGCCCUGAGUUGUGGUGUACAUCGCAGACCUGGCUCGGAUCCCUUGUUGCUGUGGCUGUGGUGUAGGCCUGCAGCUACAGCUCCAAUUUGACCCCUAGUCUGUGUGCUGCGGGUGUGGCCCUAAAAAGACAAAAAAAAAUAAAAAUAAAAA